AGAGUUUGAUCCUGGCUCAGAUUGAACGCUGGCGGCAGGCCUAACACAUGCAAGUCGAGCGGAUGAUGGGAGCUUGCUCCUGGAUUCAGCGGCGGACGGGUGAGUAAUGCCUAGGAAUCUGCCUGGUAGUGGGGGACAACGUUUCGAAAGGAACGCUAAUACCGCAUACGUCCUACGGGAGAAAGCAGGGGACCUUCGGGCCUUGCGCUAUCAGAUGAGCCUAGGUCGGAUUAGCUUGUUGGUGAGGUAAUGGCUCACCAAGGCGACGAUCCGUAACUGGUCUGAGAGGAUGAUCAGUCACACUGGAACCUGAGACACGGUCCAGACUCUUACGGGAGGCUGC
rnacentral:rRNA from 1 species